rnacentral:lncRNA from 1 species
AUGGUUAUUACAUACGACUCUAUGUUGAAAAUUCCAUGGGAAUUCAUUAAGUACACACUGGAAGUUCAAAUUGGAAGAAGAUUUGCAUAUCAAAUAAACCCCAUUUCCCCACAGCCUCAUGGGACUCCUGAGGGCCAGUCUUCCAGGAAGCCACAUAACAAAUGGAACCAGACUGCACCAGAACAAGAGAGAAAAAUUUUAGCAGCAGAUCUUCGCAACUAUCACAGAUUUGAGAUGCAGUUACUGUAUAUUGUAACAAGAUCAAGGACGGCAAUCCUUGAAGUUUUUCUGCUUGUGGCUCUGAAGAGCUUAGAAGAAUCUUUUCCAUCAGUUUUCUUCAAGGCAGAAGGGCAUGCUGUAGCUUUUACCAGCCAGACACUUCUCAGAGGAACACAGCGAAAGGACAAGAAGCGGCAGUCAUAA